rnacentral:pre_miRNA from 1 species
AGACAAGGGUGCGCCUGAGGUGAGGUAGUAGGUUGUAUAGUUGAGAAGUACAUCAUUGGAGAUAACUGUGCAACCUGCUAGCUCUCCUUGGGGCAUGCC